CACUUAUCAAGAAAGGCGGAGGGACAGGCCCUGUGAAGCCUUAGCAACCAGUAGCAAUACCAGGUGCUAAAUCCUGUUCUGAGAAGGCCGCGGCCGACUUAGAAGAAGAUAAGUU
rnacentral:ncRNA from 2 species